rnacentral:rRNA from 1 species
UAGAACGGCUACCACAUCCAAGGAAGGCAGCAGGCGCGCAAAUUACCCACUCUCUGAACGAGGAGGUAGUCAUGGCAAAUCUCGAUACAGAACUCAUUAGAGGCUCUGUAAUCGAAAUGAGAGCAUCUUAAAUCCUACAUCGAGGAUCUAUUGGAGGGCAAGUCUGGUGCCAGCAGCCGCGGUAACUCCAGCUCCAAUGGCAUAUAUUAAAGUUGCUGCAGUUAAAAAGCUCGUAGUUGGAUCUGGGCUGUGUUGCGAAUGCUGGUUGGUUAGGCGGGCACUUGUGUUCGUCUGGCCGGCUGGUAUAUUCGGACCGGCCUCGUAGCUGUGUCCAUUUGCCUUAACGGGUGAGUGGAUAACGGUGGAUGCCUGUGAUGGCUCCUUUCGGGGGGCUGUUGCGGUUCAUCGUUAUGUUCUGCUAAUGCCCUUAACCGGGUGUUCGGGACUCGCAGCACGUUUACUUUGAACAAAUUUGAGUGCUCAAAGCAGGCCAUUGUUGCCUGAAAAUUCUUGCAUGGAAUAAUGAAAUAGGACUUUGGUCCUAUUUUGUUGGUUUGAUAGAACCAAAGUAAUGAUAAAGAGAGACAGACGGGGGCAUUUGUAUGGCGGCGCUAGAGGUGAAAUUCGUGGACCGUCGCCAGACAACCUAAAGCGAAAGCAUCUGCCAAGUAUGUUUUCAUUUACCAGGAGCGAAAGUCAGAGGUUCGAAGACGAUCAGAUACCGUCCUAGUUCUGACCAUAAACGAUGCCAACUGACGAUCCGUGGAUGCUCUUUAAUGAGGCCACGGGCAGUCCUUGGGAAACCUGUAAGUCUAUGGGUUCCGGGGAAAGUAUGGUUGCAAAACUGAAACUUAAAGGAAUUGACGGAAGGGCACCACCAGGAGUGGAGC